CCUGAAUCAGUGUGUGUGUUAGUGGAAGCGUCUGGAAAGGCGCGCGAUACAGGGUGACAGCCCCGUACACAAAAAUGCACAUACUGUGAGCUCGAUGAGUAGGGCGGGACACGUGGUAUCCUGUCUGAAUAUGGGGGGACCAUCCUCCAAGGCUAAAUACUCCUGACUGACCGAUAGUGAACCAGUACCGUGAGGGAAAGGCGAAAAGAACCCCGGCGAGGGGAGUGAAAAAGAACCUGAAACCGUGUACGUACAAGCAGUGGGAGCCUCUUUUAUGGGGUGACUGCGUACCUUUUGUAUAAUGGGUCAGCGACUUAUAUUCUGUAGCAAGGUUAACCGAAUAGGGGAGCCGAAGGGAAACCGAGUCUUAACUGGGCGUUAAGUUGCAGGGUAUAGACCCGAAACCCGGUGAUCUAGCCAUGGGCAGGUUGAAGGUUGGGUAACACUAACUGGAGGACCGAACCGACUAAUGUUGAAAAAUUAGCGGAUGACUUGUGGCUGGGGGUGAAAGGCCAAUCAAACCGGGAGAUAGCUGGUUCUCCCCGAAAGCUAUUUAGGUAGCGCCUCGUGAAUUCAUCUCCGGGGGUAGAGCACUGUUUCGGCAAGGGGGUCAUCCCGACUUACCAACCCGAUGCAAACUGCGAAUACCGGAGAAUGUUAUCACGGGAGACACACGGCGGGUGCUAACGUCCGUCGUGAAGAGGGAAACAACCCAGACCGCCAGCUAAGGUCCCAAAGUCAUGGUUAAGUGGGAAACGAUGUGGGAAGGCCCAGACAGCCAGGAUGUUGGCUUAGAAGCAGCCAUCAUUUAAAGAAAGCGUAAUAGCUCACUGGUCGAGUCGGCCUGCGCGGAAGAUGUAACGGGGCUAAACCAUGCAC
rnacentral:rRNA from 1 species